CCUACGGGGUGCAGCAGUGGGGAAUAUUGGGCAAUGGAGGAAACUCUGACCCAGAGACGCCGCGUGUGGGGUGAAGGCCUUCGGGUUGUAAACCGCUUUCAGUAGGGAAGAAGCGAAAGUGACGGUACCUACAGAAGAAGCACCGGCUAACUAUGUGCCAGCAGCCGCGGUAAUACAUAGGGUGCAAGCGUUGUCCGGAAUUAUUGGGCGUAAAGAGCUCGUAGGUGGUUCGUUACGUCGGACGUGAAAAUCUGGGGCUCGACCCCAGACCUGAAUCCGAUACGGUCGAGCUAGAGUUUGGUAGGGGAGACUGGAAUUCCUGGUGUAGCGGUGGAAUGCGCAGAUAUCAGGAGGAACACCAAUGGCGAAGGCGGGUCUCUGGGCCAAUACUGACACUGAGGAGCGAAAGCGUGGGGAGCGAACAGGAUUAGAUACCCCCGUAGUC
rnacentral:rRNA from 1 species